rnacentral:rRNA from 1 species
GAUAAACGCUGGCGGCGUGCAUAACACAUGCAAGUCGAACGAUGAAACUUAGAUGAUUUCUUCGGAAUGAACUUAAGUGGAUUAGUGGCGAACGGGUGAGUAACACGUGAGUAACCUGCCUUACACAAGGGGAUAGCCUCUGGAAACGGAGAAUAAUACCCUAUAAAGUCUAAUCAGCCCAUGCUGGAAAGACCAAAGAUUUAUCGGUGUAAGAUGGACUUGCGCCUGAUUAGCUAGUUGGUGAGAUAAAAGCUCACCAAGGCGACGAUCAGUAGCCGGCUUGAGAGAGUGUACGGCCACAUUGGGACUGAGACACGGCCCAAACUCCUACGGGAGGCAGCAGUGGGGAAUUUUGCACAAUGGGGGAAACCCUGAUGCAGCGACGCCGCGUGAUUUAGAAGGCCUUCGGGUUGUAAAAAUCUUUUUUACGGGAUGAAAAUGACAGUACCGUAAGAAUAAGGUCCGGCUAAAUACGUGCCAGCAGCCGCGGUAAUACGUAUGGACCGAGCGUUGUCCGGAAUCAUUGGGCGUAAAGGGUACGUAGGCGGCCUAGUAAGUUAGAAGUUAAAGAAUAUAGCUCAACUAUAUAAAGCUUUUAAAACUGCUAGGCUUGAGAGAUGGAAGGGAAAGUGGAAUUCCUAGUGUAGCGGUGAAAUGCGCAGAUAUUAGGAAGAAUACCGGUGGCGAAGGCGACUUUCUGGUCAUCAUCUGACGCUGAGGUAGGAAAGCGUGGGUAGCAAACAGGAUUAGAUACCCUGGUAGUCCACGCUGUAAACGAUGAGUGUUAGGUUCUUGGAAUAAUCUGGGAGCCGCAGCUAACGCAUUAAACACUCCGCCUGGGGAGUACGCACGCAAGUGUGAAACUCAAAGGAAUUGACGGGGACCCGCACAAGCAGCGGAGCAUGUGGUUUAAUUCGACGCAACGCGAAGAACCUUACCAAGUCUUGACAUAUUUCGGAGGGAAUUAGAGAUAAUUCCUUUACGACUUCGGUCGACUGAAAUACAGGUGGUGCAUGGUUGUCGUCAGCUCGUGUCGUGAGAUGUUGGGUUAAGUCCCAUAACGAGCGCAACCCCUAUCGUUAGUUACCAUCAUUAAGUUGGGGACUCUAGCGAUACUGCCGGUGAUAAACCGGAGGAAGGUGGGGACGACGUCAAAUCAUCAUGCCCUUUAUGACUUGGGCUACACACGUGCUACAAUGGCAGAUACAGAGGGCAGCGAAAGAGUGAUCUGAAGCGAAACUCACAAAAUCUGUCCCAGUUCGGAUUGUACUCUGCAACUCGAGUACAUGAAGUUGGAGUUGCUAGUAAUCGCGAAUCAGAAUGUCGCGGUGAAUGCGUUCCCGGGUCUUGUACACACCG